AAAAGCGCCAAACAAAUAAGUGGGCGAUUCUGCACUUUAGCUGCUGCUUUUAAAAAUGCUUUCAAUUACAUAUUUAAUAAUUCUAAACAUCUACUACCCAAUUCUAACAGUACGGAACUACUUUCGUCGCAUUGUUUACAAACAGCACGACCCCGUUACACGCCUACGCUCAAAUACCGAAGUCACAUGAACGUUGUUAAAAAGCAUGGUAGGGCACACUCAGCAAAGAAAGUCUACACAGUGCAUAUUCUUUGUCCUCAGUCCCGUAUGCAGGGAGAGAAAAUUUUGGUGUAGCACCAGCAAAUAUGUAUUAUUGUACAUAGAACGUUCUUUGGCACCAGGGCAAAGAAUAUGUAUUGUUCUUUGACCAGGGCGACUGGGUCCAAGCAAAGAAGUCCAAGACCGUACCCUACACUGAAUAAUAGUGUAGUUUGCGAAUGGUACAGGAAAAUAAUUUGUUUUCGUCAAAGAAUCUUCUUUGUUUUCGUCAUAAAAGAACAUCCAAAAGUAGCGCUAUUUAAUAGUUCGAGUAAUCGCGGCAAACAGCGGAAUUUGGAUUAGUUACUUUUCGUAUCACAUGUUAUCGGUAACCGUUGUACAUUUCAGUUUUGAGUAGCGUACGGCGCAUUGGUGCGGUAAAUCAUCAAAUUUAAUGUUAUGAGAAGAUUUUAUCGAAAAUACUUAUUUUUGUGUAUAGAAGGUUUGAAAAAUUUUAAGUCAUGGUGUUGUAGUGCAGCCUUAGAUGCAUUCCAGCUGAAUUUCAUUUGCAUUGAAGCAUAUAAUUAUUUCAUCAAACAAAAUUGCAAUUAUUUCCUUUUUCAUGCAGACAUAUUUUUAGAGUGAUAAUGUGGCCUAUAUGCAGUUCAGCAGGAUUUCAUCUGCUUCUAAAGCUACUGAUAUAUCAGAACAAAUGAAGCAUCAUAGUGGUAAUCUGUUGUAUGUUUGUCAACUAUGUAAUAAAUCGUUCAGUCUGAAAUGUAAUUUGAACACUCAUUUAAAGCUGCAUAUGGGAGAACGUCCAUUUGCAUGCCAUCUGUGUAAUAAACGCUUUAGUUUAAAGGGAAAUCUUAAAAUUCAUCAAAGGAUUCAUACUGGAGAACGACCAUAUGAAUGUAAUGUUUGUAAAAAGAGAUUUACUCAAUACAGUGGCCUCAAAAGCCAUUAUAGAAAACAUAUAAACUGAUUUACAGUCAAGCAGUUAUUCCAAAUGAAAUUAGUUUUUAUUAUAUUAUUUUUGAUGUUUUGGUACUUUUCUGUUAUCGGGAUUGGAUUCAGAUAUCGCCAAAAGCUGAUGAUCUGGUGAAAAAUUCAAAACAUAAAAAUAGUUGCCAAAAUAUUUAUGAUAAGGUUAAGUUGAAAAAAAAUCCAAGGAAAUAUAUCGUGAUGGAUAGUAAUAAAAUUGGAAAUUUUUAUUAAACAUCUUGCCAAAGAAAUUGGGAAAGAAAAAUUCAGUUACCAAAUUAAAAUUAAUGUGGAUGCAUGAAAUUGUGGAUAUCAUUUAAAAUGUCUGAAAACAUUUACAUUUAAAGACGCUGCUGCCAUAACUUAAACAUAAUUAAAUAAGAAUCUAAUUGUUUAGGGGCAAUGCCGCAUUUGAUGCAAAAGCAGACUUUUGUUAACUUCAACAGUAUUACUAGUGAUGCUUAUUUUAUCUGACAGCCUGGACAUUAAUGCAUAGUCAAAGACUUAUCUUAUAUAAUUGCCCUUAUCAACAGCGGUGAAGUGAUUCAUAUCAAGCUAAUACUGACAAAAUUCUGUGAAAAUUAAUUCUAAACACCAUGCGUGAAAGAAACAUGGUUUUUUUUGUGAUCUUUGUUUCAGAGUGAAUAAUGCUUUGUUCCCAAAGAAACUGAUUGAAAGAUGUUUAAUCAUUAAGUCCCAAAUUUUCAUAUCCGGGUUAAAAAAAAAAAAUAAUAAAACACAAGUGAUCAUGUUAUCUGUAGAAUUUGUAUUCUCAUUGCCACUUUUAAAAAGACAUUCUUUUACUUAAAAAAAAAAAAAAAAAAAAAAAAAAAAAAAGGCAUCAAUAUUAUAACGAUUUGAUAAAUAAAUAUUGGCAACUUCAUAUGAAUCAAUGUUUUGUUUAGUGAAACAUUUGGUGAUGACUCUGGUCCCAAUAACAGAACAGUACCGAUAUUUUUUUAAUCAUAAAACAAAAUCUGAUAUUUGCUGAUUAUCUGCACCCUCUCAAAAGUCACAUAUUUGCCAAAUUGUGAAAUGGUAAAAAAAAAAAAAAAAUUGUUUGAUUAUAUUCAUGCUCUGAAGUAUUGUCUGUUCAUUAUGACUAUAGUAAUACUUAACAGUUCAUGUUGGAAUGCAGUUUGAAGUACCAGGUGCAUAAUUAAAUAUCAUUAUUUUUGAUGAAUUAUGUGUAUUCAAUAAACAUACUAUUUUAUUUA